GGUUAAGCGACUAAGCGUACACGGUGGAUGCCCUGGCAGUCAGAGGCGAUGAAGGGCGUGCUAAUCUGCGAUAAGCGCCGGUAAGGUGAUAUGAACCGUUAUAACCGGCGAUACCCGAAUGGGGAAACCCAGUGUGACUCGUCACACUAUCAUUAACUGAAUCCAUAGGUUAAUGAGGCGAACCGGGGGAACUGAAACAUCUAAGUACCCCGAGGAAAAGAAAUCAACCGAGAUUCCCCCAGUAGCGGCGAGCGAACGGGGAGGAGCCCAGAGCCUGAAUCAGCAUGUGUGUUAGUGGAAGCGUCUGGAAAGGCGCGCGAUACAGGGUGACAGCCCCGUACACAAAAGCGCAUGUGCUGUGAGCUCGAUGAGUAGGGCGGGACACGUGGUAUCCUGUCUGAAUAUGGGGGGACCAUCCUCCAAGGCUAAAUACUCCUGACUGACCGAUAGUGAACCAGUACCGUGAGGGAAAGGCGAAAAGAACCCCGGCGAGGGGAGUGAAAAAGAACCUGAAACCGUGUACGUACAAGCAGUGGGAGCACAGGUUUACCUGUGUGACUGCGUACCUUUUGUAUAAUGGGUCAGCGACUUAUAUUCUGUAGCAAGGUUAACCGAAUAGGGGAGCCGGAGGGAAACCGAGUCUUAAUUGGGCGUUAAGUUGCAGGGUAUAGACCCGAAACCCGGUGAUCUAGCCAUGGGCAGGUUGAAGGUUGGGUAACACUAACUGGAGGACCGAACCGACUAAUGUUGAAAAAUUAGCGGAUGACCUGUGGCUGGGGGUGAAAGGCCAAUCAAACCGGGAGAUAGCUGGUUCUCCCCGAAAGCUAUUUAGGUAGCGCCUCGUGAAUUCAUCUCCGGGGGUAGAGCACUGUUUCGGCUAGGGGGCCAUCCCGGCUUACCAACCCGAUGCAAACUGCGAAUACCGGAGAAUGUUAUCACGGGAGACACACGGCGGGUGCUAACGUCCGUCGUGAAGAGGGAAACAACCCAGACCGCCAGCUAAGGUCCCAAAGUCAUGGUUAAGUGGGAAACGAUGUGGGAAGGCCCAGACAGCCAGGAUGUUGGCUUAGAAGCAGCCAUCAUUUAAAGAAAGCGUAAUAGCUCACUGGUCGAGUCGGCCUGCGCGGAAGAUGUAACGGGGCUAAACCAUGCACCGAAGCUGCGGCAGCGACACUGUGUGUUGUUGGGUAGGGGAGCGUUCUGUAAGCCUGUGAAGGUGUGUCGUGAGGCAUGCUGGAGGUAUCAGAAGUGCGAAUGCUGACAUAAGUAACGAUAAAGCGGGUGAAAAGCCCGCUCGCCGGAAGACCAAGGGUUCCUGUCCAACGUUAAUCGGGGCAGGGUGAGUCGACCCCUAAGGCGAGGCCGAAAGGCGUAGUCGAUGGGAAACGGGUUAAUAUUCCCGUACUUGGUGUUACUGCGAAGGGGGGACGGAGAAGGCUAUGUUGGCCGGGCGACGGUUGUCCCGGUUUAAGCGUGUAGGUGUGUGUUCCAGGUAAAUCCGGUUCACUUUAACACUGAGGCGUGACGACGAGGCACUACGGUGCUGAAGCAACAAAUGCCCUGCUUCCAGGAAAAGCCUCUAAGCAUCAGGUAACAUCAAAUCGUACCCCAAACCGACACAGGUGGUCAGGUAGAGAAUACCAAGGCGCUUGAGAGAACUCGGGUGAAGGAACUAGGCAAAAUGGUGCCGUAACUUCGGGAGAAGGCACGCUGACACGUAGGUGAAGUGAUUUACUCAUGGAGCUGAAGUCAGUCGAAGAUACCAGCUGGCUGCAACUGUUUAUUAAAAACACAGCACUGUGCAAACACGAAAGUGGACGUAUACGGUGUGACGCCUGCCCGGUGCCGGAAGGUUAAUUGAUGGGGUCAGCGCAAGCGAAGCUCCUGAUCGAAGCCCCGGUAAACGGCGGCCGUAACUAUAACGGUCCUAAGGUAGCGAAAUUCCUUGUCGGGUAAGUUCCGACCUGCACGAAUGGCGUAAUGAUGGCCAGGCUGUCUCCACCCGAGACUCAGUGAAAUUGAACUCGCUGUGAAGAUGCAGUGUACCCGCGGCAAGACGGAAAGACCCCGUGAACCUUUACUAUAGCUUGACACUGAACAUUGAGCCUUGAUGUGUAGGAUAGGUGGGAGGCUUUGAAGUGUGGACGCCAGUCUGCAUGGAGCCGACCUUGAAAUACCACCCUUUAAUGUUUGAUGUUCUAACGUGGACCCGUUACCCGGGUUGCGGACAGUGUCUGGUGGGUAGUUUGACUGGGGCGGUCUCCUCCUAAAGAGUAACGGAGGAGCACGAAGGUUGGCUAAUCCUGGUCGGACAUCAGGAGGUUAGUGCAAUGGCAUAAGCCAGCUUGACUGCGAGCGUGACGGCGCGAGCAGGUGCGAAAGCAGGUCAUAGUGAUCCGGUGGUUCUGAAUGGAAGGGCCAUCGCUCAACGGAUAAAAGGUACUCCGGGGAUAACAGGCUGAUACCGCCCAAGAGUUCAUAUCGACGGCGGUGUUUGGCACCUCGAUGUCGGCUCAUCACAUCCUGGGGCUGAAGUAGGUCCCAAGGGUAUGGCUGUUCGCCAUUUAAAGUGGUACGCGAGCUGGGUUUAGAACGUCGUGAGACAGUUCGGUCCCUAUCUGCCGUGGGCGCUGGAGAACUGAGGGGGGCUGCUCCUAGUACGAGAGGACCGGAGUGGACGCAUCACUGGUGUUCGGGUUGUCAUGCCAAUGGCACUGCCCGGUAGCUAAAUGCGGAAGAGAUAAGUGCUGAAAGCAUCUAAGCACGAAACUUGCCCCGAGAUGAGUUCUCCCUGAGACUUAAAGUCUCCUGAAGGAACGUUGAAGACGACGACGUUGAUAGGCCGGGUGUGUAAGCGCAGCGAUGCGUUGAGCUAACCGGUACUAAUGAACCGUGAGGCUUAACCUU
rnacentral:rRNA from 3 species